UUUAAUGAGAGUUUGAUCCUGGCUCAGGACGAACGCUGGCGGCGUGCCUAAUACAUGCAAGUAGAACGCUGAGGUUUGGUGUUUACACUAGACUGAUGAGUUGCGAACGGGUGAGUAACGCGUAGGUAACCUGCCUCAUAGCGGGGGAUAACUAUUGGAAACGAUAGCUAAUACCGCAUAAGAGUAAUUAACACAUGUUAGUUAUUUAAAAGGAGCAAUUGCUUCACUGUGAGAUGGACCUGCGUUGUAUUAGCU
rnacentral:rRNA from 2 species